rnacentral:lncRNA from 10 species
AUGUGUCCCAUUUUGCAAAAGUCUUGAUUAAGGCUUAGAGAAGCGAACACCUUGCCCAAGGCCACGCAGAGAGUAAAGAUUUGAACGAAUGAUGUCUUGACUCCAGGGCCCAGGCUCUUAACAUCGCAGAUAUGUUUCCUCAUCCAGGAAUCAGGGUCAAAUAUCACCUGGGACCAGUCCCUUUUUUCCACUCUGGAACCCCUUCCCCACUUCUGCCAGUCAGCAGGGAGG